rnacentral:rRNA from 1 species
UACGAAGGGGGCUAGCGUUGCUCGAAAUGACUGGGCGUAAAGGGCGCGUAGGCGGCGGUCUCAGUCAGAUGUGAAAUUCCUGGGCUUAACCUGGGGGCUGCAUUUGAUACGUGGUUGCUUGAGUGGGGAAGAGGGUCGUGGAAUUCCCAGUGUAGAGGUGAAAUUCGUAGAUAUUGGGAAGAACACCGGUGGCGAAGGCGGCGACCUGGUCCUUGACUGACGCUGAGGCGCGAAAGCGUGGGUAGCAAACAGG